AACGAACGCUGGCGGCAUGCCUAACACAUGCAAGUCGAACGAGACCUUCGGGUCUAGUGGCGCACGGGUGCGUAACGCGUGGGAACCUGCCCUUAGGUUCGGAAUAACUCCCCGAAAGGGGUGCUAAUACCGGAUAAUGUCUUCGGACCAAAGAUUUAUCGCCUUUGGAUGAGCCCGCGUUGGAUUAGCUAGUUGGUAGGGUAAAAGCCUACCAAGGCGACGAUCCAUAGCUGGUCUGAGAGGAUGAUCAGCCACACUGGGACUGAGACACGGCCCAGACUCCUACGGGAGGCAGCAGUGGGGAAUAUUGGACAAUGGGCGAAAGCCUGAUCCAGCAAUGCCGCGUGAGUGAUGAAGGCCUUAGGGUUGUAAAGCUCUUUUACCCGGGAUGAUGAUGACAGUACCGGGAGAAUAAGCUCCGGCUAACUCCGUG
rnacentral:rRNA from 1 species